rnacentral:rRNA from 1 species
CAGUCGCCGCGGUAAUACGAAGGGUGCAAGCGUUAAUCGGAAUUACUGGGCGUAAAGCGCGCGUAGGUGGUUUGGUAAGAUGGAUGUGAAAUCCCCGGGCUCAACCUGGGAACUGCAUCCAUAACUGCCUGACUAGAGUACGGUAGAGGGUGGUGGAAUUUCCUGUGUAGCGGUGAAAUGCGUAGAUAUAGGAAGGAACACCAGUGGCGAAGGCGACCACCUGGACUGAUACUGACACUGAGGUGCGAAAGCGUGGGGAGCAAACAGGAUUAGAGACCCCAGUAGUCCCUGUCUCUUAUAC